rnacentral:rRNA from 1 species
GACGAACGCUGGCGGCAGGCCUAACACAUGCAAGUCGAGCGAGCGGUGGACGUGUUAGUAAUGUAUGGGGAUCCGCCCGAUAGAGGGGGAUAACUUCUGGACACGUUGUCUAAUACCCCAUACUAUCGUACACCCCUAUAUGGGUAUAGCUUGUAGGUGGGGUAACGUUUCAUCUAGGCGACGAUCUCUAGCUGGUCUGAGAGGAUGAUAAGCCAGACUGGGCCUGAGACACGGCCCAGCCUCCUACGUGAGGCAGCAGUGGGGAAUAUUGCACAAUGGGCGCAAGCAUGAUGCAGCCAUGCCGCGUGUAUGAAGAAGGCCUUAGGGUUGUAAAGUACUUUCAGCGGGGAGGCGUUACCCGAAGAAGAAGCACCGGCUAACUCCGUGCCAGCAGCCGCGGUAAUUA